CUGCGGCAGCGACGCUGAUGCGUUGUUGGGUAGGGGAGCGUUCUGUAAGCCUGCGAAGGUGGCCUGUGAGGGUUGCUGGAGGUAUCAGAAGUGCGAAUGCUGACAUAAGUAACGAUAAAGCGGGUGAAAAGCCCGCUCGCCGGAAGACCAAGGGUUCCUGUCCAACGUUAAUCGGGGCAGGGUGAGUCGACCCCUAAGGCGAGGCCGAAAGGCGUAGUCGAUGGGAAACGGGUUAAUAUUCCCGUACUUGGUGUUACUGCGAAGGGGGGACGGAGAAGGCUAUGUUGGCCGGGCGACGGUUGUCCCGGUUUAAGCGUGUAGGUGUGUGUUCCAGGUAAAUCCGGUUCACUUUAACACUGAGGCGUGAUGACGAGGCACUACGGUGCUGAAGCAACAAAUGCCCUGCUUCCAGGAAAAGCCUCUAAGCAUCAGGUAACAUCAAAUCGUACCCCAAACCGACACAGGUGGUCAGGUAGAGAAUACCAAGGCGCUUGAGAGAACUCGGGUGAAGGAACUAGGCAAAAUGGUGCCGUAACUUCGGGAGAAGGCACGCUGACACGUAGGUGAAGUGAUUUACUCAUGGAGCUGAAGUCAGUCGAAGAUACCAGCUGGCUGCAACUGUUUAUUAAAAACACAGCACUGUGCAAACACGAAAGUGGACGUAUACGGUGUGACGCCUGCCCGGUGCCGGAAGGUUAAUUGAUGGGGUCAGCGCAAGCGAAGCUCCUGAUCGAAGCCCCGGUAAACGGCGGCCGUAACUAUAACGGUCCUAAGGUAGCGAAAUUCCUUGUCGGGUAAGUUCCGACCUGCACGAAUGGCGUAAUGAUGGCCAGGCUGUCUCCACCCGAGACUCAGUGAAAUUGAACUCGCUGUGAAGAUGCAGUGUACCCGCGGCAAGACGGAAAGACCCCGUGAACCUUUACUAUAGCUUGACACUGAACAUUGAGCCUUGAUGUGUAGGAUAGGUGGGAGGCUUUGAAGCGUGGACGCCAGUCUGCGUGGAGCCGACCUUGAAAUACCACCCUUUAAUGUUUGAUGUUCUAACGUGGACCCGUGAUCCGGGUUGCGGACAGUGUCUGGUGGGUAGUUUGACUGGGGCGGUCUCCUCCUAAAGAGUAACGGAGGAGCACGAAGGUUGGCUAAUCCUGGUCGGACAUCAGGAGGUUAGUGCAAUGGCAUAAGCCAGCUUGACUGCGAGCGUGACGGCGCGAGCAGGUGCGAAAGCAGGUCAUAGUGAUCCGGUGGUUCUGAAUGGAAGGGCCAUCGCUCAACGGAUAAAAGGUACUCCGGGGAUAACAGGCUGAUACCGCCCAAGAGUUCAUAUCGACGGCGGUGUUUGGCACCUCGAUGUCGGCUCAUCACAUCCUGGGGCUGAAGUAGGUCCCAAGGGUAUGGCUGUUCGCCAUUUAAAGUGGUACGCGAGCUGGGUUUAGAACGUCGUGAGACAGUUCGGUCCCUAUCUGCCGUGGGCGCUGGAGAACUGAGGGGGGCUGCUCCUAGUACGAGAGGACCGGAGUGGACGCAUCACUGGUGUUCGGGUUGUCAUGCCAAUGGCACUGCCCGGUAGCUAAAUGCGGAAGAGAUAAGUGCUGAAAGCAUCUAAGCACGAAACUUGCCCCGAGAUGAGUUCUCCCUGAGACUUAGAGUCUCCUGAAGGAACGUUGAAGACGACGACGUUGAUAGGCCGGGUGUGUAAGCGCAGCGAUGCGUUGAGCUAACCGGUACUAAUGAACCGUGAGGCUUAACCUUACAACGCCG
rnacentral:rRNA from 1 species